UCAGCAGCAAGAUAGUGUGUAUCAGUACUAUGCUGUUAUGCAGUGCAUUUCUUGCUGAACGGUGUUUUCUGCUACACUAACUUUGGGGGAACUGGACAGUUGGGUUAUACCCUUAUCUUUUAUUGGGUAUCUCAACAGUCAUUUUUCCCAUGUUC